GUAUCUUCUUAGACCAAGUCUAGAAACAGUCUUAGGACAAUAACAAUUCCAUUCUAGAAAGAAUCUCCCAACAUUUCUUCUAUCUCAACCUCAACUGCAUCUGCCUGUGAACUUCCAGCUUACCAAGGCUCUAUAUCUUCUGGCAGUGACAAAGGCUCCUUCCAUGGUUGGUACAUCAUAGCUGGGGAAACAGGGAUUCAAAAGAUCCAGGCUGUUCCCUACAUAUUUUUCCUCCUCAGACAUCAGUUCAUCAGUCAAUCAAGUCAGGUGAGAGUGGAGGCCAUGUAUUCCUUAUUCUUGGGCACUGUCCUCCAAGGAGGAAGAGGCCAGGAGGUCCUGUUAGAGGAUGCACUCUGAGAGGCCGGGCUCCCUAAGGUGUGAGGGUUCUAACCAGCAGGUGUAGACUUUUCAGGAGUGAGGAAUGAGGCAG
rnacentral:lncRNA from 1 species